rnacentral:rRNA from 1 species
UACGUAGGGUGCGAGCGUUGUCCGGAAUUACUGGGCGUAAAGAGCUCGUAGGUGGUUUGUCGCGUUGUUCGUGAAAACCGGGGGCUUAACCCUCGGCGUGCGGGCGAUACGGGCAGACUUGAGUACUGCAGGGGAGACUGGAAUUCCUGGUGUAGCGGUGGAAUGCGCAGAUAUCAGGAGGAACACCGGUGGCGAAGGCGGCCUGCUGGGCAGUGGCUGACACUGAGGCGCGACAGCGUGGGGAGCAAACAGG